rnacentral:rRNA from 1 species
GACGAACGCUGGCGGCGUGCUUAACACAUGCAAGUCGAACGGAAAGGCCCUGCUUUUGUGUGGUGCUCGAGUGGCGAACGGGUGAGUAACACGUGCGUAACCUGCCCUUGACUUUGGGAUAACUUCAGGAAACUGGGGCUAAUACCGGAUAGGAGCUCCUGCUGCAUGGUGGAGGUUGGAAAGUUUCGGCGGUUGGGGAUGGACUCGCGGCUUAUCAGCUUGUUGGUGGGGUAGUGGCUUACCAAGGCUUUGACGGGUAGCCGGCCUGAGAGGGUGACCGGGCACAUUGGGACUGAGAUACGGCCCAGACUCCUACGGGAGGCAGCAGUGGGGAAUAUUGCACAAUGGGCGGAAGCCUGAUGCAGCAACGCCGCGUGCGGGAUGACGGCCUUCGGGUUGUAAACCGCUUUCGCCUGUGACGAAGCGUUAGUGACGGUAAUGGGUAAAGAAGCACCGGCUAACUACGUG